UCCGACCAUAUCUCGUUGAAACAUCGGUUCUCGUACGAUCUACGAAGUUGAGCAGCGUUGAACAUAGUCAGUAGCUAAAUGGGUGGUCUCUUGGGAAUACUAGGUGCUGUAA